CCUCUUGCCCUAUAUGUAUAAGAGGUCCCGCCUGCCCUGUGAUAUUUUUAACGGCCGCGGUAUCUUGACCGUGCGAAGGUAGCGUAAUCAACUGUCUUUUAAUUGAAGGCCUGUAUGAAUGGCAUUACGAGAGUUUAUCUGUCUUUAUUUUCCAAUCAAUGAAAUUAAUCUCCUCGUGCAGAAGCGAGGAUAUAAACAUAAGACGAGAAGACCCUAUGGAGCUUUAAACACUUAAGUUACUUCUAAAUAUAAAUAUCUCACCUUCGGGUACAACACUAAACAAGAAGCCUGACUUAACUUGUUUUUGGUUGGGGCGACCAAGGAGAAGAACAAAACCUCCUUAUCGAGUGUGUGAGCACUCACUCAAAAAUUAGAACCACCAUUCUAAUUAAUAGAAAAAUCUAACGAACAAUGACCCAGGGAGCCCUCCCUGAUCAAUGGACCAAGUUACCCUAGGGAUAACAGCGCAAUCCUUUCCCAGAGCCCUCAUCACCGAAAGGGUUUACGACCUCGAUGUUGGAUCAGGACAUCCUAAUGGUGCAGCAGCUAUCAAGGGUUCGUUUGUUCAACGAUUAAAGUCCUACAUGAUCUGAGUUC
rnacentral:rRNA from 1 species